AGCAAAGUUGUAUGGUGUUCACCUUCCCUUUUGCCUGUUUGCAGUGUGUACCCUUAUGUCUGAAAAUGUCAGGGAAAGCUGAUGACUUGGCAUUGUUGGAUUAUGUUUUUUCUCCAUAAAAUCUGAUGUGGCACCAGGAGAAGCAGGAGGUGCAGUACAGGACACUCUGUCAGUGUUUAAUGUGCCUCACCAAGCAGCACCUCCAGCCUACCCAUCUCAGGUCCUCUUUCUGAGGACCCCGAGGGCCACUUUCAUCCCAUCCAUAAAGCCAGAGACUGUAUGUUGAGACCCAGCUCCAGCACAUUCAUUCCUUAGGUUCCAAGCUGUCCCAGACAGCUCCAAUUCCUAUUCCUUUCUCCAUCCCUGCCUGUGUUUGAGGGGUGUUUGAGGCACGCGGGGUUGUCCUCAAGUUGCUGUGUCUUUUUACAUCAGUUCUGUCUCCAUGCUAAUUGAUUGUUGCAUUUAUCAAGCAAUGCACUAAAGUAAAAUCAGAAAUCUGAGUUUUCCUCUGUGUCCACUUCAAUCCAUUCUCCGGGUAGGACAUGCUGAGUCACGCUCAGCCUUCUGGGUGUGACAUCAUGCACUUUUACAAAACAUAAGGCAAACAGGCUUUCACGGGUCUGUUGUUGGCUUACCUCACCGAUCACGGGACGGGGGUGACUCAGUGAGUCUCCUCCUCCUCCUCGAGGUCGGGGAUUUCCUCCCAGCAAGCCCUUCUCCAGCUCAGACCUCUCUCUCCCCAUCACCUCCAGCCUCUGCCCGGUUCCUCAGCCCCCUGGAGAAGCCAUGGGAGGAGCUGUGCUCUGUUCCCAGACCCACUUGAGAAGUUUCUUCUUCUGUUUACACACCACAUAACCCGAGUGGUGGGAGCAUUUUGCACCUCUGAAAAUAAACAGCCAACAUUUAAUGGAGCACAAUGUUUCCCCACCAGCAGCUCUUACUUGUCUGCCACCUUUGCGGCAUGAGGCUACCGUGAAUUCCCGUGGACCUGCUGCUGGCUCAUGUUCUGAUGGAGGUUGUUUGGGCAACGCUUUGUAAAAUCCGAUGCACAGGAUGCACAGGUCCAAGUCCCGCCCCAAGGGGUUUUUUCAGUGUUCCCGAGAGUUCUGCUCAGGGCAUUUCCCUGCUCGGGGAUGUGGUCAGUGCUCGGCCCUGUAGUCCUCCCUGGCUCCUGGCAGAGGAGGGAGGCAGAAACUUUUGAUGCCGUCCAAAGGGCUCCCUCUGCCCAUUUCCUUCCCGGAUUUUCUAACCACUGGCAGAGGCCAUUUCAAGAUUUGAAAAACUUGCUUUAUUUCAUGAACUGAAGGAUAUUCUAAGGAUGCAGAUAGCCAAGACUGCAGAAAUGGGUGACCUGUGCUUUUCCUCCUAAACGAGGCACCCAGAGCACCUCGAGGCGGCCCCUGCACCUUCCUGCAUGCUGGGCUCCCUUCACUGCACACCUCUCCAGAAGGAAAAAAAGUGGAUGCCUAAGGACCCAUCUGGCAGAUUUUCCUUUUCAGGAGAAUUCCCAUGUCUGCUGGAGUGUUGCUGGGAGCAGCUGGCUCCCAGCCCCUCCCCGCCUGCCACCUGGUAUGGCUCCGGGGCGGCGUCCGAGCAUUGCCGAGCGCCUGCAGCUCCACUCCCGCCUCUGGCACGGGCACAGCCUCGCUGUACACUGCUCCCUAACUGACCCAAACAUUUCAAGCAACAGACUUUGAUCACUGGAAGCCAGUCCUACAAUAUUUACAUGCCUGAGAAAUAUUUACUUGCUAAAAGAGCUCUGGGGAAUGGGAAAUGACAGCUUUCUCUGGUUCAGGAAUUAUGCACCCAUGUACAGGGCACCUGAGCUGCCUGCCCCAUGUGAUAAGUUCAGUAUAUAGCGCCCCCAUGUGAUCAAUGCAGUAUACAGCGCCCCAUGUAAUAAGUGUGAUAUAUCGCCCCCACGUAAUAAAUGCAAUAUAUCGCCCCAUGCAAUAAAUUGAUUAUCUCGCCCCAUGUAAUAAAUGCCAUACCUUUUUUCUCCCACCAUGUAAUAAAUUUAUUAUAUCGCCCCGUGUAAUAAAUGCCAUAUAUCGUC